GAACGCAGAUUGCGCCUUUUGGUAUUCCGAAAGGCAUGCCUGUUUGAGUGUCUUAUAAACCUCACCUCUACUGUUUUUCAUUAGACAUGUAGACUGGUGCUUUGGGUGUUGCCGUUUACUCUGGCUCGCCUUAAAUGUCUAAGUGGAAUGCGUAAUAAGUUCUUUCGCAACCCUCCACUCUAAUAACACACUUUAUACUCUGACCUCAAAUCAGGUAGGACUACCCGCUGAACUUAAG
rnacentral:misc_RNA from 1 species